GAUGAACGCUGGCGGCGUGCCUAAUACAUGCAAGUCGAGCGAACGGACGAGGAGCUUGCUUGUCUGAUGUUAGCGGCGGACGGGUGAGUAACACGUGUAUAACCUACCUAUAAGACUGGGAUAACUUCGGGAAACCGGAGCUAAUAGCGGAUAAUAUUUUGAACCGCAUGGUUCAAAGGUGAAAGACGGUCUUGCUGUCACUUAUAGAUGGAUCCGCGCUGCAUUAGAUAGUUGGUGAGGUACCGGCUUACCAAGGCAACGAUGCAUAGCCGACAUGAGAGGGGGAUUGGCCACACGGGAACGUGGACACGGUCCAGACUCCUACGGGAGGCAGCAGUAGGGAAUCUUACGCAACGGGCGAGAGCCUGACGGAGCAGCGCCGCGUGAGUGAUGAAGGUCUCCGGAUCGGAAAACUCUGUUACUAGGUAAGAACAUAUUUGUAAUUAACUGUGCACAUCUUGACGGUACCUAAUCAGAAAGCCACGGCUAACUACGUG
rnacentral:rRNA from 1 species